rnacentral:lncRNA from 1 species
UUUAGACCAAGUGUUGAACUUAUGAUCCAUAUGAGGGAAGAUCUACAUGAUAUAUGAUAUUUUAUGGUUAGAUCUUGCCAUUUUUAGGGUUGAUAAGCUUGAACAAAGAAGAUGAACCAAAACAGUUUUUUUGUUUUAAAUGAAUUAGUGGACUGCUGCCCUAAACAGAAAAUUUCGGAUUUGUUAGGGUGCUCUAAAAAUUCUGGACUUGUGAUAUGUUAUAGUACACUCAAUAAGCUUUCCAUAGACUCCGAAACGGACUAAAUCCGACAUCGGAGGAGCAAGUUAUGGGAUUUCUACCAAACUACACAAAGUUAAGAAAAACUGUUAGAAGGACAGUUUGUAACAGCCACUUCCGGGCUAAAUUCCGGGAGCUUAACAUAUCCAAAUAUGGAUUGUGAUAUAUGAAAACUAUAGUUCGGAAAGAUACGAAUCCAACAAAAUUGACGGAUCAUUAAUCGGAGUUACAGAUUUCGUUUUAUUUAAGUUUUGGUGAAGGACUCCAAAACUGCCAAAGUGCAAAAAGUUUCUGGCCAAAAUUUUCCGAGGGCUGUUUUGGACAUUUAGUUAAUGAGAAAAAUUACAGGCUUUUGGGAAAUGAAAAUAUAUGGUAAUAUGUAGCUCGUGUCCAAAAAUGAGCUAAUUCCGGCUUAAAACGACCAAGUUAUGACCAUUUCAAUUUUUGUGAUUUUCCGACGGAAAUCGCUAUAACCGGAGUUCUACAACUCCGAUUGCCACGAAAUUUAAAAUGGAGC